GCCCUGUUAGCCCUGGUACCUUCUCCGCCCUGUUAGCCCUGGUUCCUUCUCCGCCCUGUUAGCCCUGGUACCUUCUCCGCCCUGUUAGCCCUGGUUCCUUCUCCGCCCUGUUAGCCUAUUAGCAUGAACAGGUGGAAGAAGCUGCUGUCAAUCAAUUAAAACGCAGUAACGGGCGUUCCGGGAUUCACCUCACUGCCACAAACUCUCAUUAUCCCGUCCCCAGAAGCUACAGCAGCCCUCCCCAUGGAGGCGGGAGCGCACAGGUGACGGAUUUGAGGUGCUACACCGCCACCUGUUGUCCCGCGCAGGCGCUGCAGUCCCCCUGCUGAGCGCCACACGGGCGCGUCCGCCGCCGCUUUCCCUCAACCCGAAGCAGAGCUGUUUUUCUCUCUCCUCUCGGAUGACAGCCGUCCUCUGCGCGCUUCAGCAGCACAUUUAAGGAGGGAUCAGAACUGCUUUUUUUCCGUGGCUGUGUUUCGCCUUGGUCGGCAUUAGUGGGGAAGAAGAGCUGCGGUGAAAGGAGAGAGACAGAGAGAGACUCCCGUCUCCAGCUGCUGGAUACCAGGAUCCUUUUAACACUGUCGUGAUGGAGGCUGAUAUGUGGACAGUGGAGUAAAGGAGCCAGAGGAGUCCUGGUUUGAUGUGUGGAGGGAAGACUGUGUGCUGGAGCCAGGGAUUGCAUCUUGAUGUAAAACUACUGAACCCUGCGGGCUGAGAGUCAUCUCCAGUGUUCCCCUUCGCGUCAGUCAUCAAGGGACACAUUUUGACUGUACAAACCACCACCUUGCCAUGGACCGCCCGUGUCCUGGUGAAGGCGUGAGCCGGACACGGGCUCUCGUUGGGAAACUGUAGCCGUGAGGAUUCUCUCCAACUUACUUCCCGUGAUUUUACUCUGGAGGUAUUCUGUAUUGGGACCAGGGAUGGAUGUACCGGAGGCCAGCAAGCAUGGCAAGAAGUCGACAAGUCAAAAGCUGGAGGACCAGAAAAAGAAACAAUGCUGGGUCCAGGAGCGACGGCUCAACUAACUCUAACCCAAACGGCAACGCACAAAGAGUCACAUCCAAAACAAAAUGCGUGCACAGACACAGACUCUCUCUGCCCCUAAAUUCCCUGCCGUGUGAAGCUCACUCUGAGGAUUUUUGGUACUUGUUUGUCCCAUCGAGUCACCAGAGCAAGUCAUUUUCUGCCGUGGACGCCUGCUUUACCUGAAAGGACAACAGCAAUGCUCAAAAUAUGGUCGACAGAGGACCACACAUGCUUGUGUAUGAGGCCAUAUUGGUGUCUGUUUGUAUGCAUGCGAUGGGAAUCCAUUAUGGCUGACAUACCUGUGGGCCUUUGUGUUAUGAUGUUUCG
ensembl:lncRNA